CUACGUGCCAGCAGCCGCGGUAAUACGUAGGUCCCGAGCGUUGUCCGGAUUUAUUGGGCGUAAAGCGAGCGCAGGCGGUUAGAUAAGUCUGAAGUUAAAGGCUGUGGCUUAACCAUAGUACGCUUUGGAAACUGUUUAACUUGAGUGCAAGAGGGGAGAGUGGAAUUCCAUGUGUAGCGGUGAAAUGCGUAGAUAUAUGGAGGAACACCGGUGGCGAAAGCGGCUCUCUGGUCUGUAACUGACGCUGAGGCUCGAAAGCGUGGGGAGCGAACAGGAUUAGAUACCCUGGUAGUCCACGCCGUAAACGAUGAGUGCUAGGUGUUGGAUCCUUUCCGGGAUUCAGUGCCGCAGCUAACGCAUUAAGCACUCCGCCUGGGGAGUACGACCGCAAGGUUGAAACUCAAAGGAAUUGACGGGGGCCCGCACAAGCGGAGGAACAUGUGGUUUAAUUCGAUGAUACGCGAGGAACCUUACCCGGGAUUGAA
rnacentral:rRNA from 1 species